rnacentral:rRNA from 1 species
UACGGAGGGUGCAAGCGUUAUCCGGAUUUAUUGGGUUUAAAGGGUCCGUAGGCGGACCUGUAAGUCAGUGGUGAAAUCUCAUAGCUUAACUAUGAAACUGCCAUUGAUACUGCAGGUCUUGAGUAAAUUUGAAGUGGCUGGAAUAAGUAGUGUAGCGGUGAAAUGCAUAGAUAUUACUUAGAACACCAAUUGCGAAGGCAGGUCACUAAGAUUUAACUGACGCUGAUGGACGAAAGCGUGGGUAGCGAACAGGAUUAGAUACCCUGGUAGUCCACGCCGUAAACGAUGCUAACUCGUUUUUGGAUUUUCGGAUUCAGAGACCAAGCGAAAGUGAUAAGUUAGCCACCUGGGGAGUACGUCCGCAAGGAUGAA